rnacentral:rRNA from 1 species
CCUACGGGGGGCAGCAGUGGGGAAUAUUGGACAAUGGGGGGAACCCUGAUCCAGCCAUGCCGCGUGUGUGAAGAAGGCCCUCGGGUUGUAAAGCACUUUCAGUGAGGAAGAACGCCUGGUGGUUAAUACCCAUCAGGAAAGACAUCACUCACAGAAGAAGCACCGGCUAACUCCGUGCCAGCAGCCGCGGUAAUACGGAGGGUGCGAGCGUUAAUCGGAAUUACUGGGCGUAAAGCGCGCGUAGGUGGCUUGAUAAGCCGGUUGUGAAAGCCCCGGGCUCAACCUGGGAACGGCAUCCGGAACUGUCAAGCUAGAGUGCAGGAGAGGAAGGUAGAAUUCCCGGUGUAGCGGUGAAAUGCGUAGAGAUUGGGAGGAAUACCAGUGGCGAAGGCGGCCUUCUGGACUGACACUGACACUGAGGUGCGAAAGCGUGGGUAGCAAACAGGAUUAGAUACCCCUGUAGUC